CCUACGGGGGGCUGCAGUGGGGAAUAUUGCACAAUGGGCGCAAGCCUGAUGCAGCCAUGCCGCGUGUGUGAAGAAGGCCUUCGGGUUGUAAAGCACUUUCAGCAGGGAGGAAGGCGGUGAGGUUAAUAACCUCAUCGAUUGACGUUACCCGCAGAAGAAGCACCGGCUAACUCCGUGCCAGCAGCCGCGGUAAUACGGAGGGUGCAAGCGUUAAUCGGAAUUACUGGGCGUAAAGCGCACGCAGGCGGUCUGUCAAGUCGGAUGUGAAAUCCCCGGGCUCAACCUGGGAACUGCAUUCGAAACUGGCAGGCUAGAGUCUUGUAGAGGGGGGUAGAAUUCCAGGUGUAGCGGUGAAAUGCGUAGAGAUCUGGAGGAAUACCGGUGGCGAAGGCGGCCCCCUGGACAAAGACUGACGCUCAGGUGCGAAAGCGUGGGGAGCAAACAGGAUUAGAUACCCUAGUAGUC
rnacentral:rRNA from 1 species